rnacentral:lncRNA from 1 species
CGCGGGCGGAGGCUUCCGGGGCUGGGGGCGGUGCCACGUGCAGUGCCGGCGGCGCACGGCAGAGGGCGUAGAGGAGCUACCGCCGCCCUCCCGGAUCCCCACGGCGCGGUCCGCGACGCCCGCCCUGCCGCCGCCUGGCCGAAGCCUCUCCAAGGCCAAGGCCACCCUCGGCCCCGCCCCGCCGCAACCGCCGCCCCGGAGUGUCGGUCGAAGAUCACCCUAGGCCCACGCCCUCUGCCCGCCCCGGACGCGCCACCCCCUUCCUGGGCCUCCCUCCCUCCUUCCGCUCCAGCUUGAGGCAAAACUCACUCAAGGACAGCAGAGCAGAGGGAAUGGAGUCCUUGAGCUGCUGCAUCCAACCUCCCAAACCUGCCAUCCUACUGAACUUCUGCUAUGAGAGUAAU